rnacentral:rRNA from 1 species
UAGGGAAUCUUCGGCAAUGGGGGCAACCCUGACCGAGCAACGCCGCGUGAGUGAAGAAGGUUUUCGGAUCGUAAAGCUCUGUUGUAAGAGAAGAACGUGUGUGAGAGUGGAAAGUUCACACAGUGACGGUAACUUACCGGAAAGGGACGGCUAACUACGUGUCAG